GGACGAUUAGCUCAGUGGGAGAGCGCUUGCUUCACACGCAAGAGGUCGGCGGUUCGAAACCGUCAUCGUCCACCA
rnacentral:tRNA from 2 species